GACGAACCGUGCGAACGUUAUUCGGAAUCACUGGGCUUAAAGCGUGUGUAGGCGGAUUGGUAAGUACCUUGUGAAAUCCCACGGCUCAACCGUGGAACUGCUCGGUAUACUGCCUGUCUUGUGCAACCUAGGGGCGAGCGGAACAGAUGGUGGAGCGGUGAAAUGCGUAGAUAUCAUCUGGAACGCCAAUGGUGAAAACAGCUCGCUGGGGGUUUGCAGACGCUGAGACGACGAAAGCCAGGGGAGCGAACGGG
rnacentral:rRNA from 1 species